AUUCUGCCCAAGCGGGGAAGGAUGAGAAGCUUCGACCAAGGUUCGACUUGAGCGCCAGCGAGAGAGCGUUGCCGCAGGCAACGACCCGAAGGCCGAAGCGCGCAGCGCUGAGUAAUCCUUCCCCCACCACCA
rnacentral:sRNA from 1 species